ACGUAGGUGGCAAGCGUUGUCCGGAAUUACUGGGUGUAAAGGGAGAGUAGGCGGGAUUGCAAGUCCGUUGUUAAAUCUAUCGGCUUAACCGGUAGCUGCGGCGGAAACUGUAGUUCUUGAGUGAAGUAGAGGCAGGCGGAAUUCCUAGUGUAGCGGUGAAAUGCGUAGAUAUUAGGAGGAACACCAGUGGCGAAGGCGGCCUGCUGGGCUUUAACUGACGCUGAGGCUCGAAAGUGUGGGGAGCAAACAG
rnacentral:rRNA from 1 species